ACUUGAGUAGCUUAUUUAAAGUUUAACAUUGAAGCUGUUAAGAAGAUCUUCCUGAUCCUUAAGUA
rnacentral:tRNA from 1 species